GGGAAGUGAACCCUUUGAUCGCAUGUGGUAAACCAUGGUCUACAGAUCACCCAUUGGGAAUGGGUAAAGAAAAAUAAGAAAAUAAAAGUAAAACAAAGCCCAAGUUAGAACAUUGCAUAAAUUGGGAUAUCAAACACAUUAUUUUAUGAUAAACGCCCUAAAUGCAAAGGAGCCUCGUUUAGCCAGAGGUAGGCCUAAGUGACACAUAAGUGAUGCAUAAUAAUUAAUUGAAGCUUUAUUU
rnacentral:misc_RNA from 1 species